UACGGAGGGUGCGAGCGUUGUCCGGAAUCAUUGGGCGUAAAGGGCGCGUAGGUGGCCCGGUCAGUUCGUGGUGAAAGCGCGGGGCUCAACCCUGCGUCGGCCAUGAAUACUGCCGCGGCUGGAGCACUGUAGAGGCAGGCGGAAUUCCGGGUGUAGCGGUGGAAUGCGUAGAGAUCCGGAAGAACACCGGUGGCGAAGGCAGCCUGCUGGGCAGUUGCUGACACUGAGGCGCGACAGCGUGGGGAGCAAACAGG
rnacentral:rRNA from 1 species